rnacentral:tRNA from 1 species
GCCUUCGUGGUGUAGUGGUCAGCACGCUCGACGCGUAACCGAAAGGUCCGUGGUUCGAUUCCCGGUGAAGGCG